rnacentral:lncRNA from 1 species
CUCAUCGAAGCUAUCAGAGUUGUCUUUGGCCAGGAGAUGCAGUCAUCCUCAUGGAAGCUAUCUGAGUGGUCUUUUGGCUGGGAGAUGCAGUCAUCCACAGAUCUCUUCUUGUUUUAGCCACCUCUCUCUCCUCCAUGGGCUCUCUAAGGAAAAUACAUGCAUAGGCUAAACUGGCAAAGGAAAGCAAAGUAACGCUUUAUUAUUAAUUGGGACUUUGGUUCCAAGCCUCCAAACAGAAUUCCAUUAAACUAUGUUGGACUCAAUAGGUAAUUCUUCAUGAGAAUUUAUGAGAAUAUGCAUAAGGCAGCUCAGAGCUUAGAACCAAGUGCUGGGCAGUAUAUUCCUUUUUAUGCACUCACAACCAGACCUUAAGCUUGACUCCAUCAACCAGGCCAGAGAAUUCCUACAAUAGCAGGAGGAAAUGGAGUCACAGCACAAGGGACCCUGUUUGUCUGCAGUGCUCAGCACAAAACCAGCCAAGCCUGGUUGCUGUAUUAGGAAGAGAGAACUUUCCGAGAGAAAGCCUGUCUGGCCCUUGGCACUUCCCGCUGCAGUCACUGGAGAGGUAAGAGAGAAAAGGGGCCACUCUGUCAUGUGUUUUCUCUGAAAACAAACCCAGGACACUAUGACUAAGCAUUGACCAAGAGCUUGGAAUUUCCUGUCCUUGAUGCCACAAGCAAUCCCAAACUUGGCAAUGUAAAAUAGCAACUGUUUUGUAGUGCUCUUGGGUUCUGCAAUCCAGGGAUCUGAGAACAGCAUUGUAGGGUGGUUUAUCUCUGCUCCACACUGUCUGCAUCCUCAGCUUGGAAGACCGGGAGGCUGGAGGCAGCUUGGCAGCUGGGGUCUGAACCCCCCUGCAGGCACACUUCUUCACAUGGCAGUUGAUGCUGGCUGCUGGCUGGGACCUCUGCUGGGCUGCCAGCCAGAAUAUCUGUUUGUGGCUUCUCCAUGUGGCUGUUUGGGGUUCUUCAAAUUUCUUCUAAGAGUGAACAUCCCAAGAGAACCAGGCUGAAGCCAUAUCACCUUUCGCAUGCUAGCCUUGGGAGUAAAAUCAUGUCCUUCUCAUUGUACUCCAUUAAUCAGGGCAGUCGCAAAGAUCCAGCCAGACUGAAUGAGAGGGGACAGACAUCAUCAUUCCACGGCUGGUACGUUAAGCUUACAUUGUAAGAAAAGCAUGUGGGAUGUGCAGUGUUAUUACUUGCCACCCAACUCACCCUCGAUUAGUAAUAAAGUGUCUAUAUGGGACACGUGGAAGCAAGGGGGAGAGAAAUAAGAGUCCUAAGUUUCUCCCAGAUACUGACUGAUACUGGGAAACGUGCCUAAAACCCACUGCUGGAAUCCUUCUCUGGAUCAGAGCACGCAGCCUCAGAACAGUGAGUAAUUAAGCUGUUAUUGGCUGUUGGUGUCAAUAGCCAAUACUGACUACACACUUCAUUGUCUAUUGGUCAUAUUAGAAAGCAGACGGGACUGAAGAUCUAGACGGAUAAAUUGUUCUUUGGUGAAGGGUUUUGGGACACGUUUCAUCAAUAGGUUCCUAUCAGGCAAAUGCUCCAGGAGGCUGGAGAUGAAAACUGAACAAAUAACUGAAAGAAAAGAAUAAAGAAAUGCCUUCUUUAAGCCUUGGCUCCUUCACAAUUUGACCAUGACCAGUCCUUCCCAGAAGUGAGAGUCAGCUGGGCAGGAGUUUUCCUCCAUCAGUGGAGUCAUUUUAUCAACAUCCAGCCUUAGAGCGCUUCUUUACGGAGGGAGAAACUCAAACACAAGGCAGGGGAGGUGACAAGUGUGUUCUCCAGGCCUGGGGUUUCAGGUGAGGGUGGAGGUGUGGGGCCAGGCAGGUGGUGGCUAUCCCCUCUUCCCCAUAAGGAAGAUAACACGAACAUGCAGGUUGAUGCAGGGAGAGCAGAAUUAUGGGAUGUUACAUCUUACAGAAAUAUCAGUUAUGUUUCUUUAAUUGUCAGUGACAAAAAGAUAUUUUUUCUACAAAUAAAAAAGGCCAUAUUUGGAAUAAUAUGGAGCAUCUUACAAAAGGAAAAUUGUACCUGUACCUAAUAAGCCAUAGUAGCUCUGGGAACUGAAUCUCGGGCACCAGGAACAGUCUCGCAUGUCAUUGUAAUCUGGAUUCAUGAGCUCUGACUUUCCACAGUCUUUGAGUCACUGAGCACUAGGAUCAACUUUCACAGAGGAUCCAGAUAAUCAGCCAGCUUAAGUCACACUCCUACAGCUUGGCUAGGGUAGGGAUUCCUCACCAACAGUCCCAUAAGAUCUUAUCCAGUCAGGAGGGGCUGGCCCAAUCUGAAGUGCAGCCGAGACCGGGAGCCACAGACCUGGAACCUGUGUACUCAAAGAGUUGUCCACAUGCCAGCAGCACUGGCCCUUCCAGGAGCUGUUAGAAAUGUAGAACCUCAGAGCCUACAUUGAAGAUAUUGAAUCGGAGUCUGCACAUCGCUUCUGAGAAGCCAUGAGCUAAGCUGAUGCCAUUCAGCUGGGUAGCAUCGCAGUCACUGUGCAACUUUUAAACAUACAGCUGCCCAGGCCCACUGCAGACCUGCUAAAUUCAAGCUCCUUGUAGUGGGGCCAGGGCCCUGGGACUUCAUACAAAACUCUGCAAGUCAUCACUGAUGAGAAAACCAAGACUCGAUGAGAGUCUCCUGAGCUCAGAGGAAGAAGCUGCAUAACCAGCACACUUCCAGAGAGGACCGAGGAAGAGAGCGUUGCUUCAGCCAGGGUCUCAGCAGACCAAAGCAAGUUAUUUUCUGAUGAAAGGAUUUCAUCGGACCUUGAUGCUCACUUGGAUUUUUAAGUGGAAAAAGGUCACUGUGUCUCUGUGCAGUUGCAUCAUGCAAUUCUAAUGAGAGAGGCUUCUCAGUCACUCCAAAUGUGACCGCGUGUGCAGAUCCUCAUGUUCUCAGACACCAGCCCCUUCUCCCAGACUGGCUUGCUCCAAACUGCAAUCCUCUGAGGCCCAUGAUCAGUGUCCUGGUCUGAGGCACAUGGAGUGUGUCACCCAGAAUUUUUGGAAUGGAAAUGCACUGAUCCUCACAAGAGGCAAUCACCAUUACACCAAGGGAGCUUCUAUGGCUUUCUGUUUGAUCGCAGUUCUACUCCAGGAGGCUGCCACUCUGUUAUGCCCAGGAUAGGUUCAUGAAGUGGAUUCCUGAAAUGCUGCGAUUCACAGAGGGUUUCCUCUCGCGUGUGACUGAAUUUAUCAACAUGUUUAAUAAAGCUACGUGAUCUCCCGCAGGCGUUGGCUGCAUAGCAUCGCGUGUCCACCAGAGCUGCCUCCCUCCCUGAGUCAACGCAUCCCUGAAGAUACACAGCUUAUGUCAGCAGCACAGACCUGCAUCCCCCAUGGUGACUCAAUUUACAUUCCAUACCCUUGCCCCUGCAUGGGGGUCUUCUUGGAAACUCUGAGACAAGUUGGCUGUGUUAGGAGUCCCCUGAUCUCAAUCUUGCCCAGCCCUAUGUGAACUUAGGUCUCUGGAGACUAAGAAGCCCCAUGGGCAGAGGAGGAGGAGCAGCAAAGGCCCCAAGCAUGAAGUGAUUUGGGGGGAGGAGAGAGGAGUUUCCAGAGAGGGUGAGCACCCCAUCCCCACUGCGGCACUGUCCCUCUGCCAAUGCACACGAUACAGCGGGAGUCCUUCCUCCCGCCUGGCUGUGCAGAGUGGCCCUGGGACCUCUAGGUGGGCAGAGAGCGGGAGGUGCAGCAGAUGGAGACGGGCUCCUUAUACUCUCUCCUCACUGCUGGGGAGGAUAGAAGCAGGAGCCACGUGGCUUCAGAGCCUCCUGUUCCUCCCCUUCCCCAAAUUCCUAUCAACAGCUAACCAAAUCCCUGCAAACACCCGCUCUCCAAGCACCUGCUAAGAACCAGGGGUCCUUGGCAGAGGACUCCCCUCGCAGUGGGUGCUCAGAGCCCACUGAUCUUGCCCCUCCGCUGGCCCGGCUAUGGGAACUGGCAGGUGGCAGCGGAGCUGGAACUUAGGAAGGGCAGGAUGUCAGCUUGGAGCCAUGCCGGCUGUCACCAGAGGCCGCCCCUCCCACAGCUAAGCCUUCCCGGGUGUUGUGUCAUGAGCACACACAGUCCGGAGUCUCCGACACCACUUUGUUUCCCCUGCUCUAUCCAUGGGGCCACCUCUCACUUUCCCAAAAGAGAGGGCAGGGUGUCAAGCCGUCUCACAGAUGGCAGAGCAGAUGCCUGACCAUACUCUCGAGCAGCUUCAGAGAAGUAUUUAUGCCCUGAAGUGGUUUCUUCAGGUGACCAGAUGAAGGUGAGUUGCUGGACACCACCUACCCCAAGGCCCCUGUCCUCAGGGAGCUCAGGUCCGUGCCCCUCAGAGGUUCAUGCCCCUCAGAGCCAGCCAGCUCCCCCUUCCACCUAACCCUGACCAGCAGGAGACCUGUGGAAGUCAGGGGUCGGCCGUGCCCCCUUUCCUCAACCUUCCUGCCUCUCAGCCUUCCCAGGCUGCAGAAUUUCACCCCUCAGAGGCUUCCAGAGUCUGCCCACUCCUGUGAGGAACCACCGUCCUCCAUAAAUGAAAUGCAGCCCUUUCCCUGGGGAAGCAUGGGGGGCUUACUGAACCCGCUUCUGUGAGGCUGGGCUUGACUAGUGGGCAAAGCUGAGUGUGGCUGGGCCUGGCUGCUCCAGCGGGGCGGUCCCUGCUGCUCCCCGACCCAGAAGGUGGCCUGUGGCCAGAACGUGGUCUUAGAGCUCAGCCCUGACCAGCUUGUGAACUCAGCCCCGGUCGACCCAGGAGGAAGCACAGGUCUCUUGUCUCACUGAGUCUCAUCCCCUCAGCCACAGACCUUCCUCCCCAUCUCCUCCACCCGCAGAGGUAACCGAGGGCUGGGAUGGGGCUAGGAGGCCUCGUAUAACUGUGGGAACUGUGGCUGGAGGGUGUCAGAGAGAGAACGCGGAAUUCCAGUCUAGUGUGGAAGUGAGGUGAGAGAUGCAGAUUGCGGUUUUAAAAUCUAUAUAAAAUUACCAACUUGAAUAUUUCCUUAUGACUCCUGGAAUUCUACUUCUCGGCCCCUAAGUGUGGACAUCUGAUGCAGUUCUGGAAUGUAGAAGGGUUUUAUAAAGGUUUCAGGAAAUGUUCUUCUUUCCCUAUUACAAGAAACAAUUGACGUUUCUGCUCCUAUAUGCUUUUCUUUCUGCUUUAAAAGCAGAUAAAAUUUUCAGCUACAGCUUCAAGCUAGUGAAUAAAGCUGUGGAAAUCUGGUUUCAAUACAUAGAAUUCUACCUCUGCGAUGACUGCCUGGCGGUGGCUGUUACGUGAUUCCGGGGACGUAAGGCCUGUGAGAGUGAGGUCAGGGCUCUGCUGCACUGGGAAGCGUGGGGGCCGGCAGGUCAUGAUGAUGUUGGAAAAACUUCAUCUAGAUCACUUUCAGGAUAUCAUGCGAUACUCAGUGUGGUAGGAAGAGAUCAGUACAAUGCUUCUACUUGUACAGCAUAACCUAGGUAUGCAGAGGGCAAAAGACAGAAACCUGUGAUCAAGUCAGCACUAGAGCCUAGGAUCUAUUAACUCCCUAUGUACUGUGGUUUUCCUGGAGAAAGAAAUUAGUAAAUGAUAAAAUUGCAGCAGUCAGAUAUAAAAUACAGAGUUGUCUAUGAGUGAAUAGACAUUUAAGAAACAGCAUGCAUAGCUUCACAGAUAAUCCGGUGACGUAGAUUGAAAGUUUGUUUCCUUCCAAGAUUCCAAUGUGAAAAUCCCAACCUGGGAAGGAAUGAACAAACGCUGCUGAACCCAGGAGGCCCAGCAAGUGGGCAGUGCGCUCCAGUGGGCCUGGAAGGCAGAGCAUUGAGCCAAAGGAAAUCGGGUUCAACGCUCUUCAUUCCAGGGAGUUUGCCUUGUGGUUUGGACUUGCCUGAGAUCCAUCACUCCUUUCUUCUUUCCUAUUUCUGUCUCGGGAGAAAUGUCUGUCCUAUGCUUGCAGCACUACUCUACUCUGGAAGCACAUAACAUUUAGUUUCACAGAUUCCUGCCUAGAGAGAAAUUUGUUUCAAGAUGACUUUUACCUUGAGUCUUAGCCAUAUCUAAUUUAGAGGAUAUUUAUAUAAGACUUCCGAUUUGAGAUUUAGAGUUGACACUGAUGGGGUUGAGAUUUUGGGGCUACUGGGAUGUAAUUAGUGUAUUUUGCAUGUUAGAAGCACUCUAGGCCCGGAGCUGAAUGCUGCAGCCUGAUGGUUUAUGUCUCUUCAAGAUGCGUAUGUUGAACUCCUAACACCUAAGGUGAUGGUAUUAGAAGGUGGGGCCUUUGGGAGGUGAUUAGAUCAUAAAGGUGAGGCCUUCAUGAAUGGGAUCAGUGCCCUCCUAGAAGAGACCCCACAGAGCUCUCUCACCUUCCAUAUGGGGACACAGUGACAAGACGACUGCCUAUAAACCAGGAAGUAAGCCGUCACCAGACACUGAAUUCUCAGCACCUGGAUUUUGGACUUCUGGUCUUCAUAACUGAGAAAUGCAUUUCUGUUGUUUGUAAGACAGUCUAUGGUAUUCUGGUAUGGAAGCCUGAAUGGACUAACACAUUCAAUAACUCAAAGUGAUGUUUUAAGAACAGAAGAUCUUGCCAACUGAAGGCACAGGCUUCCUCCCUCCUUACCUUCCUCUCACCCACAUGGCUUCCCACCCCAUCCCUUCACCACUUUUGUCACACCAACGCCACCUUCCCCUUUACCUCUCCCCCAGCAUCAAGCCAACACUGCUGAUUGCUGCUGACCUUCUGCUAAUGCUAAAUUUAAAAUCAACUUUUUAUUUAGAAAGUUUAAAACUUAAAUUAUAGACUUGGACCUAGGUGGAAGAGAGAAAGAAAAAAAGAUUUCUAGACCCUGAGACAAACUCAUACAUCUGUCCAUAAAUCUGCUCAUUUCAUUUUAUGGAAACAAAGAAAUAUGCUUAGUGGGUAGAUUUAAAUACUCAGACACUUAAAGUAUAAGAUAGCAUGGCAACAACUAGUGGUGAGAAGAGUAGGGAGAGGUCCUGAUUCUGCAUUCCCCAAGAGCCUGAUCUGAUUACAAUCUUUUGUUGAAAUUACUCAAUUGUUAUUUUUAAGUAUUUGAUUUUCCCAGCUUUUUGUAAAAAUUAAAUAGACAGACAGACAUACAUACACUGUGAAGCUAAAGGCUAAGAUUCAGCUGAUUUUCCAAAGCUAAUCAUGAGAGUGGAUGUUGUUUAUGGAAGCUGAACAAUAUGACUUUCAUCACCAGGCAGUGGCCCCUGGGCAAAGACUCCAGGGUCUCUGGAUAAGAAGAAACUGAUAGGGAAAAAUGGCAGAAAUGCUGCAAUAAACAACCCUAAUGAAGAAGAAAUGUAAAUCCAUAUAUAACCAAGAAUGGUUAUUUCAGCUUCCUUCUCCUCCUUCUCCUUCUCCUCCUGCUCCUCCUCCUCCUAAGGAUUUUUUUUGUCCCUUUAUCAAUGCAUCAUUUUUCAACUCUGUCACUUCCGCAUAACACAGCCACCCUUUGCUGUUCUCAACUUUUCCUUUUUGUAUUUGUUUGACACUAACUUUUCCCACAGUCUGUAGAUUUCUUUUUGUCCUUUUCUAAUAGUUCAUGUUUUAGAAAUUCAGAACAAACAAUUUCUGAAUGCUCCUCAGAACACCCAUCUCAGGCAGAGAAUCUCACCGAAAUAGAGAAGAAGCUCAUGCUCCUGGAAGAAACAGCCUGAGGAGAGCCGCUGGGCCACAUCUGGCCACUGUCCACAGCGCUGUCAGAUCCAACGAGAGCCGCUGAGUCACAUCUGGCCACCGUCCGCAGCACUCACAUCUGGCCACCGUCCGCUGCGCUCACAUCUGGCCACCGUCCGCAGCGCUCACAUCUGGCCACCGUCCGCAGCGCUCACAUCUGGUCACCAUCCACAGAGCUCACAUCUGGCCACCGUCCGCUGCGCUCACAUCUGGUCACCAUCCACAGCGCUCACAUCUGGCCACCGUCCGCUGCGCUCACAUCUGGCCACCAUCCGCAGCGCUCACAUCUGGCCACCGUCCACAGAGCUCACAUCUGGCCACCGUCCGCAGCACUCACAUCUGGCCACCGUCCGCUGCGCUCACAUCUGGCCACCGUCCGCAGCGCUCACAUCUGGCCACCGUCUGCUGCACUCACAUCUGGCCACCGUCCGCAGAGCUCACAUCUGGCCACCAUCCGCAGAGCUCACAUCUGGCCACCGUCCGCAGCGCUCACAUCUGGCCACCGUCCACUGCGCUCACAUCUGGCCACCGUCCGCAGCGCUCACAUCUGGCCACCGUCCGCUGCGCUCACAUCUGGUCACCGUCCGCAGCGCUCACAUCUGGCCACCGUCCGCAGCGCUCACAUCUGGCCACCGUCCGCAGCGCUCACAUCUGGCCACCGUCCGCAGAGCUCACAUCUGGCCACCGUCCGCAGCGCUCACAUCUGGCCACCGUCCCCAGCGCUGUCAGAUGCCGACCAAACCCUGCUUUGGUGUUGAGGUGGUUUGUCUAGUAGCCUCCUUUCUUAAGGGAAUUUAAUCUGCUGCAAAUGGUUCUCAUGUAUGCAAUAGAUGUUACUGUAACUGUUUUAUAAGGUGCAUUGCCUUCACCUUGCCAGGCUCUAUGCCAGUCUGUGUCUAGUCUGAUACCAUUCCUGCACACAUACAUCAAUGCCCCAGCAUUUGGAGGGCUGGAGUUAGGAAUAAUCCUGUUGGUGACUUAUUAUUAACUAUUGUAUGGGACUUAUUAUGUAUCUUCAUGUUCUACUGUUCCCACCUCCCAAACCCCAAAAAAGGAUGAGAUCUGUUUUAUAACAAAAACAUUUACGAUAAGGCCUAUACCAUAAAAUAAGUAAUAAAGUUAAUACCAACAAAAAGAGAAGAAGUAUGAAUUACUGCUGUGGUUAGGGUUGACAUUAUUCCUACGAUUGAGCUUCGAAGACUUUUCUAAGCAGUAAUAAACAUGAACCAAGCGUCACACAGUUCCAUUCAUGGUCCUGACCUGAGAGAGCGCUUUCCUAGAUGGACACCCACUCCCUCUCCCAACUGCCCAACUCAUCAGUAAAUGGAGUUUGAUUUAAGCCAAACCUAAUGCAGUAGUUCCCUGUACUUGAGGUUUUUCCUUCUGGGAUUUCAGUUACCUGUGGUCAACGAGAUCCAAAAAUAUUAAAUAGAAAAUUCUAGAGAUAAACAAUUUACAAGUUCUAAACUGCACGCCUUUCUGGUAGCAUGAUAAAAUCUCAUGCUGUCCUGCUCUGUCCCUCAUGGAAUAUGAAUCAUUCCUUGUCCAGCAUAUCUACUCUUCAUAGCAGCAGUCUAGGUUAUCAGAUUGACAGCUCCAAGAAGAAAAGUGAGUUAAGUACAAUAAUAUAUUUGUGAAGAAAGACCAUAUUUAUAUAAGGUUUGUUACAAAACACUAUCAUAAUUGUUCUAUUUUAUUAUUAGUUGUUAUGGUUAAUCUGUUACUGUACCUAAUUUAUAAAUUAAAAUUUAUCAUAGGUAUGUAUAUAUAAGAAAAAACAAACAAACAAACAAAAAAUAUAUAUAUAGGAUUUGGUACUAUCCACAAUUUCAGCUAUUCACUGGGGUCUAGGAAGAUAUUUUUCAUGGAUAAGAAGGGGGCUGGGGUAUAGCAAAAUAAAAUUAAAUAUGCAAAAAUGUCUAAUCAUAUGACUAAAGAAAAUAUACACGACAUUAGAAAAGAUAAAAGGAUCAGUGGUCAUCAUAGCAGCUUCAAAUUUAGAAUGCAUAUUUACAGUUAGUAAUACAUUUAUAGCAAUCUAUUCAUGAUGGGUGGUAAGAAGAGAGUAAACAAUCUUUCAUUGGUAAAUCUUUUCGAGAUAUCUCAUUGCUGAAUACUUUACAUGCUAUCUCAUUGAAUGUUUAUGAGGAUCUCAAGAAGUAGUCAUAUUCCUAAUAGAGAAAAAAAACUUGAGUUUUUUUUUUCUUGCUAUUUCAGUGUUCCUUUUCCUUUGCCAGUCCUCCAAUAGCUGUUCAAUGAAUCUACAUAUUAAAUUUAAGGCUGACUCCAUCUCCUGAAUCACAGUGGUCAUUCUGCCUCUUGGACUGACUCCAUUCUUCAUUUAUUGAGUCCUUGUGGAUAUAGAGCCUCAGCCCUUGUCAUCCCCUAAGGCAAGUGUUGGUCUGAGAAGCGAAACCAAGCUGGCACAGCACUGUAGGCCUGGGAGGGAAAGUGACAUGUGCCUGCAUCCCAAGGAGUGGGGAUGAUGAAAUCAUGAGGGACUCAAUGAGGCUAUCAUUUGGGGUGCCACUGGAACAUUGAUUAGUGAUGAAAGAGGAGAGACCUUUGGCCUCCUGAGAGAAUAAAUCUGGUCCUCAUGGUGUCUCCUUUCCAAGAUCACCUCGUUCUUCCUGUCUUACCCACUUCUCAGCUUGGGUAAAUAUUAAACCCUCCAGUGAAUGGGGCCAUGUGAAAUUUUAGUCUAUCUAUCUCUACAUCACUGAACAUGUUGGACUCCACUAAUCUUAAGCACAAACAUCAUUUUUCCUCUUAUCAAUGAUCUUUUAGCAUUUUAAGCAACUUUUAUAUAACAAUACUUUUAAUAUUUUUUCUGGUAUCUUGUCUCAGUAUCUUCCCAUGUAGAACAACUCUAUGUAUCACAGAACUACUAAAAGCAAUUAAA